GAUGAAGAACGUAGUGAAAUGCGAUAAGUAAUGUGAAUUGCAGAAUUCAGUGAAUCAUCGAGUCUUUGAACGCACAUUGCGCCCCCUGGUAUUCCGGGGGGCAUGCCUGUCCGAGCGUCAUUGCUGCCCUCAAGCACGGCUUGUGUGUUGGGCCCCCGUCCCCGGUUCUCCCCGGGGACGGGCCCGAAAGGCAGCGGCGGCACCGCGUCCGAUCCUCGAGCGUAUGGGGCUUUGUCACCCGCUCUGUAGGCCCGGCCGGCGCCAGCCGACACCCCAACUUUAUUUUCUAAGGUUGACCUCGGAUCAGGUAGGGAUACCCGCUGAACUUAAGCAUAUCAAUAAGCGGAGGA
rnacentral:misc_RNA from 1 species